GGUAGAGUUCUUCGGGACUUGAGACCGGCGCACGGGUGCGUAACGCGUAUGCAAUCUACCUUAUACAGGGGAAUAGCCCAGAGAAAUUUGGAUUAAUGCCCCAUAGUGUUAUAGAAUCGCAUGGUUUUAUAACUAAAGUUCCAACGGUAUAAGAUGAGCAUGCGUCCCAUUAGUUAGUUGGUAAGGUAACGGCUUACCAAGACAAUGAUGGGUAGGGGUCCUGAGAGGGAGAUCCCCCACACUGGUACUGAGACACGGACCAGACUCCUACGGGAGGCAGCAGUGAGGAAUAUUGGUCAAUGGGCGCAAGCCUGAACCAGCCAUGCCGCGUGCAGGAAGACGGUCCUAUGGAUUGCAAACUGCUUUUAUACAGGAAGAAACCUCCCUACGUGUAGGGACUUGACGGUACUGUAGGAAUAAGGAUCGGCUAACUCCGUGCCAGCAGCCGCGGUAAUACGGAGGAUCCAAGCGUUAUCCGGAGUCAUUGGGUUUAAAGGGUCCGUAGGCGGCCUUAUAAGUCAGUGGUGAAAUCUCCUAGCUCAACUAGGAAACUGCCAUUGAUACUGUAGGGCUUGAAUUUUUGUGAAGUAACUAGAAUAUGUAGUGUAGCGGUGAAAUGCUUAGAUAUUACAUGGAAUACCAAUUGCGAAGGCAGGUUACUAACAAACGAUUGACGCUGAUGGACGAAAGCGUGGGGAGCGAACAGGAUUAGAUACCCUGGUAGUCCACGCCGUAAACGAUGGAUACUAGCUGUUCGGAGCAAUCUGAGUG
rnacentral:rRNA from 1 species